CAACACACAUGGUUGACAGAAUGUAAAAUCCACGUUGAAUAUCGUUGAACAAUGUGAAACGUGAAUUGAGAACAUGAAUUUCACGCAGAUUUUAUGUAAAAUUUCAACGUGCGAAUUGCAAUGCAGGAAUUCAACGCUGAUUCAACACUCAUAUACCAGCAGCGGAAUGGAGCACGUUAUGACAGCGUUGAUACUUACGCUGGAAUUUAACGUAACUGAAAACAUAGAACGAACAACGUUGUUUCUGCACAAGUUUUACUUCAGGAUUUCACUUGCAAAGUGCACACGUAGAAAUCACGUUGGUUUAUCAUACGUAAAGCAACUGCAUUAUCCAAUCCAAUCCCAUCCAGGAUCCAAUUCAAGUCAGUUCCUUCCAAAGCGAGAAUCGGGGAAGCCACACCAGACGCCAUUCUCCUCAGAUCGUAACCGCCAUUAACUGAUGCUGGCGUUUCAAGUUUAUUUCGCUUUUGCGGCUACUUCUUCUAUGUUUCGUGGCUUGUUUUGGUUUCGAACCGGGUUGUGCUGGUGACUGUGACAUCGGAAGCUGGCUCAGAGAUUAUCGCCGCUGCUAGCAAGUCCAGUGUGUGCGGUCUAUGAGUGAUUCGUAGGAAGCGCAGGUAUGUGCACGUCGGAUUUCUGUUCAUAAUUGUGUUUACAUUUUUAGAGUGUGCAAAUAGGGUCACUAUUACAUGGUGGGCUCCCGAAUUGUUUUUCAGCGUUGUUGGCCGUUUCAAAUUCGUGUGAUAAUUAUCGUCACUUGUAUUUCAGGACAGAGAGUGAUGCGGGAAAGAAAGGCAGAUGUUGAGCAAAGAACGAGCCUGUACAGAGAUGUAACGCGUAGUCGCAAAGAAAGAAGACAGCCUGGAUGCCGAAACGACGUGGCUUCCCGCGAGGUUCUAGUGCAUUUCAACUAUUAGAACGGUCAGUUAACUGCCUUUAUUGUUCACAAGAGAGAGUAUAAAAA